GGGCGAAAGCCUGAUGCAGCGACGCCGCGUGAGGGAUGACGGCCUUCGGGUUGUAAACCUCUUUCAGUAGGGAAGAAGCGAAAGUGACGGUACCUGCAGAAGAAGCACCGGCUAACUACGUGCCAGCAGCCGCGGUAAUACGUAGGGUGCGAGCGUUAUCCGGAAUUAUUGGGCGUAAAGAGCUCGUAGGCGGUUUGUCGCGUCUGUCGUGAAAGUCCGGGGCUUAACCCCGGAUCUGCGGUGGGUACGGGCAGACUAGAGUGCAGUAGGGGAGACUGGAAUUCCUGGUGUAGCGGUGGAAUGCGCAGAUAUCAGGAGGAACACCGAUGGCGAAGGCAGGUCUCUGGGCUGUAACUGACGCUGAGGAGCGAAAGCAUGGGGAGCGAACAGGAUUAGAUACCCUGGUAGUCCAUGCCGUAAACGUUGGGCACUAGGUGUGGGGACCAUUCCACGGUUUCCGCGCCGCAGCUAACGCAUUAAGUGCCCCGCCUGGGGAGUACGGCCGCAAGGCUAAAACUCAAAGGAAUUGACGGGGGCCCGCACAAGCGGCGGAGCAUGCGGAUUAAUUCGAUGCAACGCGAAGAACCUUACCAAGGCUUGACAUGUUCUCGAUCGCCGUAGAGAUACGGUUUCCCCUUUGGGGUGGGUUCACAGGUGGUGCAUGGUUGUCGUCAGCUCGUGUCGUGAGAUGUUGGGUUAAGUCCCGCAACGAGCGCAACCCUCGUUC
rnacentral:rRNA from 1 species